AACAAAAACAAAAAUUGACAGGUGGGACCUAAUUAAACUAAAGAGCUUCUACACAGCAUUCUUAUUUUCCUCUAUGAACCCCAAAUCCAUAUGGAGAAAUCAUCAGUCUCCACAAACACUGUACUCCCCACGGACUGACAACCCUGCUCUCUCUCCCAUUCUUUUCCUCAGUCUUCUCUUUAUAUGAACCAGAGGGUGCAAUAGGGAUGAGGAGGUGGUUGGUUGCUGAAGGCCUACACCGCUACCUCUUCAUAAGCCUUGGGGGCCUAUGAGAUCUGGCCUUACUUCUUGGAUGCUCUCUCUACAACGUGGGGUACUUGGAGCCUCUUUGGUCUCAGCUGUGGUCAGAGGGAAAAAAAUAUUACUCAACAACUUGUUUUCCAAACUUGGGUCAAAAGCAGCCCUCUUGCAAUCUUCUAACUUACUAGGUUCACUUUUUUAAAUCUCUAAUUGUGGGAAAAAAUCCAGGUCCAUUCUCAGAGAACAGUGUGCUUUAUUUACCCACAAAUUCAUUAUUUAUAGAGUCUUGUCAAAGCACAUUGUUUAAAACAUAUUUGCAAAAACUCUAGCCAAUGACCUACUUGUACCUUUUUUGAAAUGACUGAGGGAAUUUACGGUAACUCCAGGCUGGGCUCCAUGUGCCUUGCUCCCGCAGGAUCUGACCUGGGGCGAGUGCGCAAUGCACUGUGGUCUUUGUUUACUCCUGUGCAGGGUUAGACUUAGUACUCUCCAAAUAGUGCCAUACUUCUCUGUAACACAAAGUCCUCAAUCUAUUUACCUUUCUGGUAAAGACGCUUGCAAAAUUCAUUCGUCCAUUUGUUUAUUUAUUUAUUUAACAUGUAUUUAAUGAACUCCUAGUAUUGGCGGGAACUCAUCUAGACCCUGGGAAUACAGUAGAGAAUAAGACAGAGAAGACUAGUGCUCUCAUGGAGCUGAUGUUUCACUGGAAGUGUUAUUAUCAAGCUACCCAUAAAGACCCCAAGCUCAGCUAGACUCAGACACUCUACAGGACGACCAGCUGUGGAGAGAAGCUGCCCACUCCAGGGUCUCCUCUCUGCUAAAAGCUGGGAAGAUGUUGGGACUACCAGUGGUCGGAAGAGGCUACCCAAUUCAGGUUUCUUCAACUUGAUGGGAUGACCUGCCUGCGGAGAGGAGCCACCCACUUCAGGGUCUCCUCUAAGAUAUUCUGUCACUCAGUAAAGCUCUUAUUCACCUUGCUCACUCUC